GAUGAACGCUAGCGGCAGGCCUAACACAUGCAAGUCGAGGGGUAGUCUAGCAAUAGAUGAGACCGGCGCACGGGUGCGUAACGCGUAUGCAACCUACCUUUACAGGGGAAUAGCCCAGAGAAAUUUGGAUUAAUGCCCCAUGGUGUAUUGAGAUGGCAUCAUCCUAAUACUAAAGUUCCAACGGUAAAAGAUGGGCAUGCGUCCUAUUAGCUAGAUGGUAAGGUAACGGCUUACCAUGGCUACGAUAGGUAGGGGUCCUGAGAGGGAGAUCCCCCACACUGGUACUGAGACACGGACCAGACUCCUACGGGAGGCAGCAGUGAGGAAUAUUGGACAAUGGGCGCAAGCCUGAUCCAGCCAUGCCGCGUGCAGGAAGACGGUCCUAUGGAUUGUAAACUGCUUUUGUACGGGAAGAAACACUCCUACGUGUAGGAGCUUGACGGUACCGUAAGAAUAAGGAUCGGCUAACUCCGUG
rnacentral:rRNA from 1 species